ensembl:lncRNA
CAGGCAAUGUAGACUGUUGGAUGUUUGGGGUAAGUGAGAUGAAAUAGCAGUACAGGUUGUUUCCCGAGGCUGUGCUAAUGGUCCGUUACCAAUGAAGUGUUUGAGAAGGAUAAGUUCUUGUUCGAUUUUGAGACUGUCUUGAUUUCAACAUAGAAACAAAUGCGGUUCUUGCCUGUGUUAGAAGAGCACAGAAUUGCAGAAGAUGGUCCCCCUGUAACCCGUAGUAAUUGGAGCCCACAGCAGUAUUUCCAGCAGUACAUUGACAAUGAACUAAUUCAGGACCUGUCCUUCAUCAACCAACGUAUGGUACAGGAUUCAGGCUUAAGCACAACACCAGAAGAAAUCAAGACCUUUUUAGGAAUCUCGAAAAUAUGGUCUCAGGAGGAUAUAGGUGGUGCAUUGUGGGAUUGUUGACGGUGAUGUACGCUGUCUGCUGUUACCUAACUGCCAACAUUUUUCGAAUUUACUCUUGUUGAGAUAAAUGAAGUUUAAAUAAUGCUGAUUUAAUAACCAUGUAUUCUUAUGUUUUUGUUUUAUUAAAUUGUAUGCUGCAGCCAGGUUAGGGAAAUAUGAAUACACAGAUUGAAUACAAUAACCAUAAAAAGUUUAGAACUCCAUACAUUACACUCAGACUUUACACCUGGCUGAGAUAGAGAGACAGGAUUAAAACCCCACAAUUAACAUACAAAUGAAACUGCCUCCUAUACAGCACAAAGAGACCUUCUGUCUCCAGCCCCCUGAUGUUCUAGUCUAGGUUAGGACAAUAAAAUGUAAAUUACUGUAACCUGGUUAAGAUUUCACACCUGUAUGCAAAUAACCUGUUGAUCUAUGACUGAGAGUAAGAGCAUGCUCUUCUUCAUGGUACAGCGAAAACAAAGAGAUUCGUCCAACAUGUCACCAUGCCAACAAAGAACCAAUAAGGAAGGGUUUUACUCACGAGAGUGAAAAGUAACCGCCCCUGUGGCGGGAGUAUUAAAAACAAUGUUCGAUCUUGAUUCGGGGCGAAUAUUUUGUGGAAGCUCGAGGGUUGAGCAAAAUAUUUGACCGCUGC